rnacentral:tRNA from 1 species
GGAGAGAUGCCGGAGCGGUCGAACGGGGCGGUCUCGAAAACCGUUGAACCCAUCUGGGUUCCGGGGGUUCGAAUCCCUCUCUCUCCGCCA